rnacentral:sRNA from 1 species
GCCAGGCAUGGUGGCGCAUACCUGUAGUCCCCGCUACUCCGUAGGCUGAGGCAGAAGGAUCGCUGAAGCUCAUGAGUUUGGGGCCAGCCUGGGUAACAUAGCAAGACCCAGUCUCAA